GAUGAACGCUGGCGGCGUGCCUAAUACAUGCAAGUCGAGCGAACAGACGAGGAGCUUGCUCCUCUGACGUUAGCGGCGGACGGGUGAGUAACACGUGGAUAACCUACCUAUAAGACUGGGAUAACUUCGGGAAACCGGAGCUAAUACCGGAUAAUAUAUUGAACCGCAUGGUUCAAUAGUGAAAGACGGUUUUGCUGUCACUUAUAGAUGGAUCCGCGCCGCAUUAGCUAGUUGGUAAGGUAACGGCUUACCAAGGCGACGAUGCGUAGCCGACCUGAGAGGAUGAUCGGCCACACUGGAACUGAGACACGGUCCAGACUCCUACGGGAGGCAGCAGUAGGGAAUCUUCGGCAAUGGGCGAAAGCCUGACGGAGCAACGCCGCGUGAGUGAUGAAGGUCUUCGGAUCGUAAAACUCUGUUAGUAGGGAAGAACAAAUGUGUAAGUAACUAUGCACGUCUUGACGGUACCUAAUCAGAAAGCCACGGCUAACUACGUG
rnacentral:rRNA from 1 species